CUACGGGGGGCUGCAGUGAGGAAUAUUGCACAAUGGGGGGAACCCUGAUGCAGCACCGCCGCGUGGAGGAUGACGCAUUUCGGCGUGUAAACUCCUUUUAUAUGUCAAGAAAAUGACGGUAGCAUAUGAAUAAGCACCGGCUAACUCCGCGCCAGCAGCCGCGGUAAUACGGAGGGUGCAAGCGUUACUCGGAAUCACUGGGCGUAAAGGACGCGUAGGCGGGUUGGAAAGUCAGGUGUGAAAUCCUACAGCUUAACUGUAGAACUGCACUUGAAACUUCUAAUCUAGAGUAUGGGAGGGGGAGAUGGAAUUAGUGGUGUAGGGGUAAAAUCCGUAGAUAUCACUAGGAAUACCUAAAGCGAAGGCGAUCUCCUGGAACAUUAAUGACGCUAAGGCGUGAAAGCGUGGGGAGCAAACAGGAUUAGAUACCCUUGUAGUC
rnacentral:rRNA from 1 species